rnacentral:snRNA from 13 species
AUACCUGGCUCCGGGACCAUGGUGAUCAUGGAUGACCUCGCCUUAGAUGGAGGCUCUCCCUUACACUCUGGCGGGUUGCAGCCUGCGACGAUCACUAAUCGGGCUCACUUGGGCGCAUAGUUUUCCAUUGCGGAGGUCUUCGGACCAUCCGUU